rnacentral:lncRNA from 1 species
GCUGAUAACCCUGACCAGAAAAUGAACCACGGUACUCUGACCGCGCUAGAUGUGGAGGCCUGAAAGAACGACCCCUACUCUGCUGAAACUAGCUCCUAGACGGAGCACCACUGGAGCCACCUGACCCUCGAUGCCUCUUUGCCUCCCUCUCCUCUCUCUCCUGACGGUGAGCCAUCUCGCGGGCUAUAUCCACCGCCUCCUCAAAGAUAUGACUCGGGACCUCUCUCGAGUCAUCAGAAUACGAAUGGGAUAAAUGAACCCGUCCACAAAUCGUCAGAUCCUCUCCUGAUCCGUCUGGACCCUCCAUGGAGCAUAACAACCUAACUCUGCAAAUCUCACCUCAUAUUGAGUCAUAGACAUAUCCCCCUGGUGAAGCAUCACAAACUACCUACAUAACUCCUCCCUUUGAGAUCAAGGCACCCACUUCUCAAGAAAGAUAGUGGAGAACUCAUGCCAAGACAAUGCAACUGCACCUGCCGGCUACGCCGCUCAUAUGACUCCCACCAGGUGAAGGCUGCUCUUGAGAACUGAAAAGUGGUAAAAGAUACUCCACUAAUGUCCAAGAUCCGUGCUGUUUUUAGCAUGCGUCGACUAUUGUCGAGUAACCCCUAGGCAUGCUCGCCCACGCCAAAAGUCAGAUGUGAAAGCCUGCAAAACCUCUACAGACGAUGCUGCUCGUCAUCCGGCAUCACUGGUACCCCAUCACCCUGAACUGCAACAACUAGCUGAAUAGGGGCAACUGGCUGAACUGGUGGUGCCUCUUGGGUCUGCAAACCCUGUGCACCCUGCUCAGAAGUGCGAGCGGC